GUGAAGUGAUGAAGAAGUUUAUCCAUUCUCUGAGUGCUGCUGCAUUGUCCUCCCUGCAGCGCCUAGAUUCCUGUUUUAGGGUCUUGGUGCUGUGCAGCCUCCAAGUACCCUCCAGUCUUUCAGUGUUCUACUGGGGGCUGCUGGAGGGGCUGGCUGGCUGUCUGCAGGAGCAGGACAGAGCCAGCAGAGGUGGAGACCCUCUGCAUGGGGGCUCCAUCUCAACCGAGACGAGAGAUGCUCUCUGAUCAC
ensembl:snoRNA small nucleolar RNA SNORD17